UUCCUUUUUCUGUCAACGGGGGAGCAGGAAGCAUAAUUUCAUUCCCAAGGGGGUUCUUUUUUCGUUUCGCGUUUCUCAUUAAACAAAUAGGGAAAUUUUCAUUACUUCAACUAGUACCGAUUGGUAGUAGAAAGACAUAUGUAGAUUAGUACAAGUGAGGGGAGCACUCUAGUCAGUAUUCCAAGAGAUACUCAGUCUGCUUUUUCGAUGGAAUAUAAGACUAUAUGUUUCUCAGGGGCACAUACGAAAAUGGAAUUUCUUUGUUGUACAAUACAAAAUGAAUUUAACAUAAUUCCCCCGAUAAAAUCCCUUUCCAGCUUAAAAAAUAUCUCCUUCUGGACCCGGUUUUGUUUGUGUAACCUCAAUUACUAAUGUGAAGUUGAAAAAAUCUAUUUCAUUCAAAUGACACACUGAACUUUUGAUAUAUGUGUCCCAGUACUAAUAACACCUAGGGGGAGGGUACAAAAAAGAAGGAUAAAGAUCCAUUAAAGAUCCUACUCCUCUUAGCAUUAGCAACGGAAUGAAUCAACUUUUUCCUUCCUAUAUUUUCUAUUUUUUUUAGGAGGCCCACCAACGAAAGAACAAANNNN
rnacentral:lncRNA from 1 species